CCUACGGGGGGCUGCAGUGGGGAAUAUUGGACAAUGGGGGGAACCCUGAUCCAGCCAUGCCGCGUGUGUGAAGAAGGCCCUCGGGUUGUAAAGCACUUUCAGUGAGGAAGAACGCCUGGUGGUUAAUACCCAUCAGGAAAGACAUCACUCACAGAAGAAGCACCGGCUAACUCCGUGCCAGCAGCCGCGGUAAUACGGAGGGUGCGAGCGUUAAUCGGAAUUACUGGGCGUAAAGCGCGCGUAGGUGGCUUGAUAAGCCGGUUGUGAAAGCCCCGGGCUCAACCUGGGAACGGCAUCCGGAACUGUCAAGCUAGAGGGCAGGAGAGGAAGGUAGAAUUCCCGGUGUAGCGGUGAAAUGCGUAGAGAUCGGGAGGAAUACCAGUGGCGAAGGCGGCCUUCUGGACUGACACUGACACCGGGGUGCGAAAGCGUGGGUAGCCAACAGGAUUAGAUACCCCAGUAGUC
rnacentral:rRNA from 1 species